rnacentral:rRNA from 1 species
CCCUUAGAUGUUCUGGGCCGCACGCGCGCUACACUGAUGCAUUCAACGAGUCUAAAACCUGGUCUGAUAGGGCUGGGUAAUCUUUUGAAUGUGCAUCGUGAUUGGGAUAGAUGAUUGCAAUUCUUCAUCUUCAACGAGGAAUGCCUAGUAAACGCAAGUCAUCAGCUUGCAUUGAUUACGUCCCUGCCCUUUGUACACACCGCCCGUCGCUCCUACCGAUUGAAUGUUCCGAUGAAUACCAUGGACUGAGAGUAUGAAUGGGUUCGCCUAUUUCUGCUUCUCGGGAAGUGGAGUAAAUCUUAACAUUUAGAGGAAGGAGAAGUCGGAACA